rnacentral:rRNA from 1 species
UACAGAGGUGCCAAGCGUUGUUCGGAUUUACUGGGCGUAAAGGGUGCGUAGGCGGUCGCGCAAGUCGGACGUGAAAUCCCGGGGCUCAACCCCGGAACGGCGCUCGAAACUGCGCGGCUAGAGGUCUGGAGAGGUGACUGGAAUUCUCGGUGUAGCAGUGAAAUGCGUAGAUAUCGAGAGGAACGCCAGAGGCGAAAGCGGAUCACUGGACGGAACCUGACGCUGAGGCACGAAAGCCAGGGGAGCAAACGGG